rnacentral:rRNA from 1 species
GACGAACGCUGGCGGCGUGCUUAACACAUGCAAGUCGAACGGAAAGGCCCUGCUUUUGUGGGGUGCUCGAGUGGCGAACGGGUGAGUAACACGUGAGUAACCUGCCCUUGACUUUGGGAUAACUUCAGGAAACUGGGGCUAAUAUCGGAUAGGAGCUCCUGCUGCAUGGUGGGGGUUGGAAAGUUUCGGCGGUGGGGGAUGGACUCGCGGCUUAUCAGCUUCUUGGUGGGGUAGUGGCUUACGAAGGCUUUGACGGGUAGCCGGCCUGAGAGGGGGACCGGCCACAUUGGGCCUGAGGUAGGGACCAGACUCCUACGGGAGGCAGUAGGGGGGAAUAUGGCGCAAUGGGGCGAAGCCUGAUGCAGCAACGCCGCGUGCGGGAUGACGGCCUUCGGGUUGUAAACCGCUUUCGCCUGUGACGAAGCGUGAGUGACGGUAAUGGGUAAAGAAGCACCGGCUAACUACGUG